rnacentral:rRNA from 1 species
AUUGAACGCUGGCGGAAUGCUUUACACAUGCAAGUCGAACGGCAGCACGGGGCAACCUGGUGGCGAGUGGCGAACGGGUGAGUAAUACAUCGGAACGUGCCCAAUCGUGGGGGAUAACGUAGCGAAAGUUACGCUAAUACCGCAUACGAUCUACGGAUGAAAGCGGGGGAUCGCAAGACCUCGCGCGAAUGGAGCGGCCGAUGUCAGAUUAGGUAGUUGGUGGGGUAAAGGCUCACCAAGCCGACGAUCUGUAGCUGGUCUGAGAGGACGACCAGCCACACUGGGACUGAGACACGGCCCAGACUCCUACGGGAGGCAGCAGUGGGGAAUUUUGGACAAUGGGCGCAAGCCUGAUCCAGCCAUUCCGCGUGCAGGAUGAAGGCCUUCGGGUUGUAAACUGCUUUUGUACGGAACGAAACGGCGAGCUCUAAUACAGUUUGCUAAUGACGGUACCGUAAGAAUAAGCACCGGCUAACUACGUGCCAGCCGCCGCCGUAAUAC